rnacentral:rRNA from 1 species
GACGAACGCUGGCGGCGUGCUUAACACAUGCAAGUCGAACGGAAAGGCCCUGCUUUUGUGGGGUGCUCGAGUGGCGAACGUGUGAGUAACACGUGAGUAACCUGCCCUUGACUUUGGUAUAACUUCAGGAAACUGGGGCUAAUACCGGAUAGGAGCUCCUGCUGCAUGGUGGUGGUUGGAAAGUUUCGGCGGGUGGGGAUGGACUCGCGGCUUAUCAGCUGGUUGGUGGGGUAGUGGCUUACCAAGGCUUUGACGGGUAGCCGGCCUGAGAGGGUGACCGGCCACAUUGGGACUGAGAUCCGGCCCAGACUCCUCCGGGAGGAAGCAGUGGGGAAUAUUGAACAAUGGGCGGAAGCUGAAUGCACCACGGCCGCGGGCGGGAUGACGGCUUUGGGGUGGUAAACCGCUUUCGCCUGUGACGAAGCGUGAGUGACGGUAAUGAGUAAAGAAGCACCGGCUAACUACGUG